rnacentral:lncRNA from 1 species
AUGAGGGUUCCAGAGAAGAGGAAGGUCAGAUGGGAGGAGGGAAGCAUAACUAAGGGGUACAGGGAGCCAAUUGGACAAAGUCUAGGCAUAAAGACCAAUCACCAAGCAAACAAAACAACAAAAAAAGAGGGUCUGGAUUCACAGAAGGAUGAUCAAAACUCAGAGGUUCUCUCAGACCAACCUCUCUGGAGGAAUCCCCAAAGAGAAAUCUCCUCAUCAGUGCCUGGCCCUACCACCAUCCAACUCAGCUGUCAACAGUCCCCACUCUGGCCAUUUCCAGCUUUUCCAAUGUGUAGAGUAUUAUAUUCUAGCCAGGGGAGACAUGUACAUAUACAGGGCCUUGGAGGAAUGACACACCUAUUGAGACUGUUGGAAAGAUCUGAAGGAAGGAAAAAUUCUAAAGAAAUUCCUUGAGGGCUAAUGAGAGGAAAUCCAAGGAUAAAAUUUUUCCUAUUCCCAGUUUUGUCUUGACAAGACCUGCUCAUGGGAUGGCUGUAUAAGGAACAAAUAAAAUAACAGAAGUGAAAAUAAGGUAAAGUACA